GACCUCUCCUUGAAGGCCUUUGAUAAAAUUGGAAAUAUACAGAGAAAAUUAGCCUUACCACUGAUCUACAAUGACGGAUACAAAGCUAGUAAUGGUCUCAAUUUUA
rnacentral:snRNA from 1 species